GGGCGCGUACGAGUCUACUGCCGUUGGGGCCUUUGAGGCUUUAGUGGCGCGGCUAACGCGAUAACCCGUUCGCCUGGGGAGUACGGUCGCAAGACUAAAACUCAAAUGAAUUGACGGGGGCCCGCACAAGCGGUGGAGCAUGUGGUUUAAUUCGAUGCAACGCGAAGAACCUUACCUGGUCUUGACAUACAGAGAACUUUCCAGAGAUGAAUUGGUGCCUUCGGGAACUCUGAUACAGGUGCUGCAUGGCUGUCGUCAGCUCGUGUCGUGAGAUGUUCGGUUAAGUCCGCUAACGAGCGCAACCCUCGCUGUGUGUUACAAGUGUCACACGGUACUGCCGAUAUUAAGUCGGAGGAAGGUGGGGAUGACGUCAAGUCAGCAUGACCUUUAUAUCCAGGGCUACACACACGCUACAAUGGCCAGUACAAUGGGUUGCCAAGCCGCGAGGCGGAGCCAAUCCUAAAAAGCUGGCCUCAGUUCAGAUUGCAGUCUGCAACUCGACUGCAUGAAGUUGGAGUUGCUAGUAACCGCAGGUCAGCAAUACUGCGGUGAAUACGUUCCCGGGGAUUGUACACACCGCCCGUCAAGUCAUGGAAGCUGGCAACACCUGAAGCCGGUAUCCUAACCCGAAAGGGAGGGAGCUGUCGAAGGUGGGGUCGGUGACUGGGACUAAGUCGUAAC
rnacentral:rRNA from 1 species